UACGUAGGGUGCAAGCGUUGUCCGGAAUUAUUGGGCGUAAAGAGCUCGUAGGCGGUUUGUCGCGUCUGCUGUGAAAACUCGGGGCUUAACUCCGGGCCUGCAGUGGGUACGGGCAGACUAGAGUGCGGUAGGGGAGACUGGAAUUCCUGGUGUAGCGGUGAAAUGCGCAGAUAUCAGGAGGAACACCGGUGGCGAAGGCGGGUCUCUGGGCCGUAACUGACGCUGAUGCGCGAAAGCGUGGGGAGCAAACGGG
rnacentral:rRNA from 1 species